rnacentral:misc_RNA from 1 species
UUUCCGUAGGUGAACCUGCGGAAGGAUCAUUAGAGAAAUUAUUGAGAGUUGAGCUGGCUUUUCACGAAGCAUGUGCUCGCUUUCUAAUUAUCUUAUCCAUACACCUGUGCACCCCUUGAGGUAGAGUGGAAUUGUUUCUGCUCUCCUCGUUUAUCACAAACUCUUUGUUAAACAAUGAACGUGAAUUAGUGCCUUAUGGCCUUAAUCAAAAUACAACUUUUAACAACGGAUCUCUUGGCUCUCGCAUCGAUGAAGAACGCAGC